rnacentral:lncRNA from 1 species
CACAGGGUGACAAUGAUAACCAAGAGCAAGUCCUCCCUCCGGGUCUAAAGGGUGGGAGAGAUAAGCAAAAGGUAUCACAAGCAGAGUGUGAUAAAUGGUAUAAAUACAGCAUUAGAAAAGCCCAGGAAGUGAUACUGGUAGCUUCGUGAAAACCUUGGCUAUGAAAUAAUGAAGUGGAGGAAAAUUUAAUGAUCCUCAAAGAUAUGCCUAAACAGUAAUAAAAACUGAUGGAUAAACAUGAAACAUGCAGAAAUCAAAUUUAACAACAGCAGAUGUGACAUGUCUGUCAAUCAACGGGCAUUUAGUGAUGGUCUCCUCCAUUCCAGGCACUCUCCUAGCGGCUGUGACUCAAGAAGCUCGAGGCUGCCCAACAUGCCAGGCCUGUGAAACCAUCUGAAAGAAGCAUAAGAUGUGCUUCCUGCCUUCAUGCAGCUUCAAACCUUAAUAAUCCACAGGGAGAGCUUUGAGACUUAUGGAAACCAUCAGACUGCUUUAUCUGACCAAACCUCAAAGGAGGUUGAACUGGGAAGAGAGAGUCUGUUGACUCCAAGGCCAUCCCCAGCCUCCCACACUCACUCCUGAUCCUUUGGGAAGACCUGUGCCUUCGCUCGUUCCUGUGGCAGCAGCAAUCCACCCCUUUCAGAAGCUGUACGUCUCUCUCCAGUUUGCGUGGAAUUCUUGGAUAGGACCCAAGUUCUACUGGGACUGGUACCUGAAGCAGAGAGAGGAUAGAGAGGAGAGGGAUGGACUCCUGCACCUGACCUCUUGGACUGGUUGGAAAAACUGAUUCAACAGGAAGUCAAGAGCUCCGACUCCAAAAGCUGACCUUUGGUGUGCGGAAUCCUGGCUCUGCUGCUCACUCCUUAGAUAAUCUCAGAGCCUGCCUGCUUUACACACCCUGUGAAACCACGUCCAACAUCUGCUAACCAUAACUAAGAAGACCCUGUAGCUAUGAAAGACCAGACUCUGCUGCUGUCCUUUGGAGCUCUCUGACCCAGAGGCGCCCCACCCUGCUGCUGAGCAACAUCACCCAGACACACAGCCACCUCUCUCAUACCCUCCUUUCCCCCAGGAGAUCCCCUGUCCUACUUCCUUUCUGGGGAUGGCUUUGUGCCACUGUCUCUGGAAAGUCCCUUGUUGGGAAGGACUUCCUUUCUCAUGAACCCUGUCUAAUAAAGCUUCUGGUGUGUUGCUGCCUCUUGUGGGCCUGUCUCUUCCUUCAU